CGUGGCUUUGUGACGCAUCCAAGUGUAGAAUUGACGUCGACUUGUGCGUUGCACAGUUACGAG
rnacentral:pre_miRNA from 1 species